AUGGCAUCCAACUCCUACCCCUUGUUGUUGGUGCUGCUGGCACUCUCGGCCCCGCUGGCCGUCUUUGCCGGCGACCCAGACAUCCUGGCCGACUUCGUCGUCCCAGCAAGCAUCAACCCGACGAACAUCACCGGUGACUUCUUCACUUACACCGGCUUCCGCGACAUAAGCACGCCGGUGUACGGUUUCACCUUGACCAAGGCCACUAUGAUGGAGUUCCCAGCCCUGAACGGUCAGAGCGUGUCCUACGCCAUGCUCACAUUCCCCCCGGGCUCCGUCAACCCCACGCACACCCACCCACGCGCCUCCGAGCUGCUGAUCGUCGCCCAUGGCGCGCUCUCCGUUGGGUUCAUCGACACCGCCAACAGGCUCUACACCCAGGACCUGGGCCCGGGCGACAUGUUCGUGUUCCCCAAGGGGACGGUGCACUACCAGUUCAACCAAGGGAACAGCACCGCCACGGCGCUCUCCGCAUUCGGGAGUGCCACGCCUGGGCUCGUGUCUGUUCCCCUCGCUGUGUUUGAUACCGGCAUCGACAACGCCGUCCUCGCCAAGUCGUUCAAGACUGACGAGGCGACCAUCCAGAAGCUCAAGGCAGGCCUGGCUUUCCGGUGCUGUUAA
rnacentral:rRNA from 1 species